rnacentral:rRNA from 1 species
AUAGCUAAACUAGGAAAGCAUUUCACUUACACCGAAAAGUUGCCCGUGAAAAUCGGGCUAUUCUGACACUUAAAAACUAGCUGUGCGUAAUAUUUAACAUAAAAUAUCAAUACAUAUUAACAUACUAAUAAAUAAACUAAACCAUUUUUCAUGUCUUAGUAUAGGAGAUAGAAAAGAAGAAUCAAGCUAUAGACUAAGUACCGCAAGGGAACGUUGAAAAAGAGAUGAAACAGCACAGUAAAGUAAAACAAAGCAGAGAUACAACCUCGUACCUUUUGCAUCAUGAUUUAGCAAGAACUAAUUGAGCAAAAUGUUUUCUAGUUUACUUCCCCGAAACUAGGUGAGCUACUCCAGGACAGUCUGAUAAUAGGGCAAACACGUCCCUGUGGCAAAAGGGUGUGAAGAUCCUUGAGUAGCGGCGACAAACCUACCGAACCUAGUUAUAGCUGGUUGUCUGAGAGUUAAAUAGGAGUUUAGCCUUUUAUUUUCUGAAUUUAAUAAUGAUUUUAUCAUCAUAUAAUAAAAGAAAAUUAAAGAGUUAUUCAUAAGGGGUUCAGCCCUUAUGAAAAAGGAUACAGCCUUGCUAGGUGAUUAAAGACAUAAAUAAAGUUAGUGUUCUAGUGGGCUUAAAAGCAGCCACCUGGAAAAAGCGUUAAAGC